CACGUAGGGCGCAAGCGUUGUCCGGAAUUAUUGGGCGUAAAGAGCUCGUAGGUGGUCUGUUGCGUCCGCUGUGAAAACUCGGGGCUUAACCCCGAGCCUGCAGUGGAUACGGGCAGACUAGAGGUAGGUAGGGGAGAAUGGAAUUCCUGGUGUAGCGGUGAAAUGCGCAGAUAUCAGGAGGAACACCGGUGGCGAAGGCGGUUCUCUGGGCCUGACCUGACGCUGAGGAGCGAAAGCGUGGGGAGCGAACAGG
rnacentral:rRNA from 1 species